GCCAGGAUGGCGUAGUUGUUUGAGCAUUGAACUACGACUCUGGAGGCCAGGGUUCGAAUCCUAGCUCGGGCA